rnacentral:rRNA from 1 species
UACGUAGGGGCGAGCGUUGUCCGGAUUUACUGGGCGUAAAGGGUGAGUAGGCGGUUAUAUAUGUCAGGUGUAAAAGGCUAUGGCUUAACCAUGGUUAGCACUUGAAACUGUAUGACUUGAGUGCAGGAGAGGUAAGUGGAAUUCCUAGUGUAGCGGUGAAAUGCGUAGAUAUUAGGAGGAACACCAGUGGCGAAGGCGACUUACUGGACUGUAACUGACGCUGAGUCACGAAAGCGUGGGUAGCAAACAGGAUUAGAUACCCGGGUAGUCCCU